rnacentral:rRNA from 1 species
UGCGGUGACCAGACGUGUGGGGUCACACCCGUUCCCAUUCCGAACACGGAAGUUAAGCCCGCACGGCCGAUGGUAGUCGAGAGGCGAGAGUAGGUGAUUGCCGCGC